UUAAGCGACUAAGCGUACACGGUGGAUGCCCUGGCAGUCAGAGGCGAUGAAGGACGUGCUAAUCUGCGAUAAGCGUCGGUAAGGUGAUAUGAACCGUUAUAACCGGCGAUUUCCGAAUGGGGAAACCCAGUGUGUUUCGACACACUAUCAUUAACUGAAUCCAUAGGUUAAUGAGGCGAACCGGGGGAACUGAAACAUCUAAGUACCCCGAGGAAAAGAAAUCAACCGAGAUUCCCCCAGUAGCGGCGAGCGAACGGGGAGCAGCCCAGAGCCUGAAUCAGUAUGUGUGUUAGUGGAAGCGUCUGGAAAGGCGCGCGAUACAGGGUGACAGCCCCGUACACAAAAAUGCACAUGCUGUGAGCUCGAUGAGUAGGGCGGGACACGUGGUAUCCUGUCUGAAUAUGGGGGGACCAUCCUCCAAGGCUAAAUACUCCUGACUGACCGAUAGUGAACCAGUACCGUGAGGGAAAGGCGAAAAGAACCCCGGCGAGGGGAGUGAAAAAGAACCUGAAACCGUGUACGUACAAGCAGUGGGAGCACGCUUAGGCGUGUGACUGCGUACCUUUUGUAUAAUGGGUCAGCGACUUAUAUUCUGUAGCAAGGUUAACCGAAUAGGGGAGCCGAAGGGAAACCGAGUCUUAACUGGGCGUUAAGUUGCAGGGUAUAGACCCGAAACCCGGUGAUCUAGCCAUGGGCAGGUUGAAGGUUGGGUAACACUAACUGGAGGACCGAACCGACUAAUGUUGAAAAAUUAGCGGAUGACUUGUGGCUGGGGGUGAAAGGCCAAUCAAACCGGGAGAUAGCUGGUUCUCCCCGAAAGCUAUUUAGGUAGCGCCUCGUGAAUUCAUCUCCGGGGGUAGAGCACUGUUUCGGCAAGGGGGUCAUCCCGACUUACCAACCCGAUGCAAACUGCGAAUACCGGAGAAUGUUAUCACGGGAGACACACGGCGGGUGCUAACGUCCGUCGUGAAGAGGGAAACAACCCAGACCGCCAGCUAAGGUCCCAAAGUCAUGGUUAAGUGGGAAACGAUGUGGGAAGGCCCAGACAGCCAGGAUGUUGGCUUAGAAGCAGCCAUCAUUUAAAGAAAGCGUAAUAGCUCACUGGUCGAGUCGGCCUGCGCGGAAGAUGUAACGGGGCUAAACCAUGCACCGAAGCUGCGGCAGCGACGCUUAUGCGUUGUUGGGUAGGGGAGCGUUCUGUAAGCCUGCGAAGGUGUGCUGUGAGGCAUGCUGGAGGUAUCAGAAGUGCGAAUGCUGACAUAAGUAACGAUAAAGCGGGUGAAAAGCCCGCUCGCCGGAAGACCAAGGGUUCCUGUCCAACGUUAAUCGGGGCAGGGUGAGUCGACCCCUAAGGCGAGGCCGAAAGGCGUAGUCGAUGGGAAACAGGUUAAUAUUCCUGUACUUGGUGUUACUGCGAAGGGGGGACGGAGAAGGCUAUGUUGGCCGGGCGACGGUUGUCCCGGUUUAAGCGNACGUACAAGCAGUGGGAGCACGCUUAGGCGUGUGACUGCGUACCUUUUGUAUAAUGGGUCAGCGACUUAUAUUCUGUAGCAAGGUUAACCGAAUAGGGGAGCCGAAGGGAAACCGAGUCUUAACUGGGCGUUAAGUUGCAGGGUAUAGACCCGAAACCCGGUGAUCUAGCCAUGGGCAGGUUGAAGGUUGGGUAACACUAACUGGAGGACCGAACCGACUAAUGUUGAAAAAUUAGCGGAUGACUUGUGGCUGGGGGUGAAAGGCCAAUCAAACCGGGAGAUAGCUGGUUCUCCCCGAAAGCUAUUUAGGUAGCGCCUCGUGAAUUCAUCUCCGGGGGUAGAGCACUGUUUCGGCAAGGGGGUCAUCCCGACUUACCAACCCGAUGCAAACUGCGAAUACCGGAGAAUGUUAUCACGGGAGACACACGGCGGGUGCUAACGUCCGUCGUGAAGAGGGAAACAACCCAGACCGCCAGCUAAGGUCCCAAAGUCAUGGUUAAGUGGGAAACGAUGUGGGAAGGCCCAGACAGCCAGGAUGUUGGCUUAGAAGCAGCCAUCAUUUAAAGAAAGCGUAAUAGCUCACUGGUCGAGUCGGCCUGCGCGGAAGAUGUAACGGGGCUAAACCAUGCACCGAAGCUGCGGCAGCGACACUAUGUGUUGUUGGGUAGGGGAGCGUUCUGUAAGCCUGUGAAGGUGUACUGUGAGGUAUGCUGGAGGUAUCAGAAGUGCGAAUGCUGACAUAAGUAACGAUAAAGCGGGUGAAAAGCCCGCUCGCCGGAAGACUAAGGGUUCCUGUCCAACGUUAAUCGGGGCAGGGUGAGUCGACCCCUAAGGCGAGGCCGAAAGGCGUAGUCGAUGGGAAACAGGUUAAUAUUCCUGUACUUGGUGUUACUGCGAAGGGGGGACGGAGAAGGCUAUGUUGGCCGGGCGACGGUUGUCCCGGUUUAAGCGUGUAGGCUGGUUUUCCAGGCAAAUCCGGAAAAUCAAGGCUGAGGCGUGAUGACGAGGCACUACGGUGCUGAAGCAACAAAUGCCCUGCUUCCAGGAAAAGCCUCUAAGCAUCAGGUAACAUCAAAUCGUACCCCAAACCGACACAGGUGGUCAGGUAGAGAAUACCAAGGCGCUUGAGAGAACUCGGGUGAAGGAACUAGGCAAAAUGGUGCCGUAACUUCGGGAGAAGGCACGCUGAUAUGUAGGUGAAGCGACUUGCUCGUGGAGCUGAAAUCAGUCGAAGAUACCAGCUGGCUGCAACUGUUUAUUAAAAACACAGCACUGUGCAAACACGAAAGUGGACGUAUACGGUGUGACGCCUGCCCGGUGCCGGAAGGUUAAUUGAUGGGGUUAGCGCAAGCGAAGCUCUUGAUCGAAGCCCCGGUAAACGGCGGCCGUAACUAUAACGGUCCUAAGGUAGCGAAAUUCCUUGUCGGGUAAGUUCCGACCUGCACGAAUGGCGUAAUGAUGGCCAGGCUGUCUCCACCCGAGACUCAGUGAAAUUGAACUCGCUGUGAAGAUGCAGUGUACCCGCGGCAAGACGGAAAGACCCCGUGAACCUUUACUAUAGCUUGACACUGAACAUUGAGCCUUGAUGUGUAGGAUAGGUGGGAGGCUUUGAAGUGUGGACGCCAGUCUGCAUGGAGCCGACCUUGAAAUACCACCCUUUAAUGUUUGAUGUUCUAACGUUGACCCGUGAUCCGGGUUGCGGACAGUGUCUGGUGGGUAGUUUGACUGGGGCGGUCUCCUCCUAAAGAGUAACGGAGGAGCACGAAGGUUGGCUAAUCCUGGUCGGACAUCAGGAGGUUAGUGCAAUGGCAUAAGCCAGCUUGACUGCGAGCGUGACGGCGCGAGCAGGUGCGAAAGCAGGUCAUAGUGAUCCGGUGGUUCUGAAUGGAAGGGCCAUCGCUCAACGGAUAAAAGGUACUCCGGGGAUAACAGGCUGAUACCGCCCAAGAGUUCAUAUCGACGGCGGUGUUUGGCACCUCGAUGUCGGCUCAUCACAUCCUGGGGCUGAAGUAGGUCCCAAGGGUAUGGCUGUUCGCCAUUUAAAGUGGUACGCGAGCUGGGUUUAGAACGUCGUGAGACAGUUCGGUCCCUAUCUGCCGUGGGCGCUGGAGAACUGAGGGGGGCUGCUCCUAGUACGAGAGGACCGGAGUGGACGCAUCACUGGUGUUCGGGUUGUCAUGCCAAUGGCACUGCCCGGUAGCUAAAUGCGGAAGAGAUAAGUGCUGAAAGCAUCUAAGCACGAAACUUGCCCCGAGAUGAGUUCUCCCUGACNNNNNNNNNNNNNNNNNNNNNNNNNNNNNNNNNNNNNNNNNGUCCUGAAGGAACGUUGAAGACGACGACGUUGAUAGGCCGGGUGUGUAAGCGCAGCGAUGCGUUGAGCUAACCGGUACUAAUGAACCGUGAGGCUUAACCUU
rnacentral:rRNA from 1 species